rnacentral:rRNA from 1 species
UACGUAGGGUGCGAGCGUUGUCCGGAAUUAUUGGGCGUAAAGGGCUCGUAGGCGGUUUGUCGCGUCGGGAGUGAAAACACACAGCUUAACUGUGUGCUUGCUUCCGAUACGGGCAGACUAGAGGUAUGCAGGGGAGAACGGAAUUCCUGGUGUAGCGGUGAAAUGCGCAGAUAUCAGGAGGAACACCGGUGGCGAAGGCGGUUCUCUGGGCAUUACCUGACGCUGAGGAGCGAAAGUGUGGGGAGCGAACCGG